AGAUGGAUGGGGAUGGAGAUGGGAUGGAGAUGGGGACGGGACAGAGGUGAACACAGAAAUGGGGUGGGGUGGGGAACAGCGAUGUGGGACAGCGAUGACACCGAGCUCCACCCCUGUCCCAGAUGUGGGUCCAGGACCGCCUGCCCUUGGCCAUGCUCAAGGACCACGGCACCAACCUCCAGACCGUCCAGCAGUUCAUCAAGAAGAACCAGAACCUGCGCCGGGAGAUCCAGGUGCACCGGCCCCGCGUGGACGAGGUGCUGGAGCGCGCGGCCGCCGUGGCGUCCAUCCGGAGCCCCGAGGCCGAGGGCGUGCGGGGGCUGCUGGAGCGGCUGGGCGCGCUCUGGGCCGAGCUGCAGGAGCAGACGGAGCGGCGGCAGCAGGCCCUGGACGCCACCUUCCAGCUGGAGCAGUACUACUUCGACGUGGCCGAGGUGGAGUCGUGGCUGGGCGAGCAGGAGCUGCUGCUGAUGAACGAGGAGAAGGGGAAGGUGGGGCUGGGGGUGGGGGGCGUUGGUGGUUGGGUCAGCCUGGUUGGUUGGGUUGGGUGAAUUGGGUAAACUGGAUGGGUUGGGUUGGUUGGGUUGGGUUGGGUUGGUUGGGUGAGUUUGAUGGGUUGGGUUGGUUGGGUUGGGUUGGUUGGGUGAGUUUGAUGGGUUUGGUUGGGUUGGGUUGGGUUUGUUGGGUGAGUCUGAUGGCUUUGGUUGGGUUGGGUUGGUUUAAUUGGGUGGUUGGGUUGGGUUGGGUUGAGUUGAUUGGGUGAGUUUGAUGGGUUGGGUUGGUUUAAUUGGGUGAAUUGGUGAAUUGGAUGGGUUGCAUUGGUUGGGUUGGGUUGGUUGGGUUGUGUUUGGUCAUUGGGUUGGUUUGAUUGGGUGAAUUGGGUGGUUGGUUUGGUUUGAUUGGGUGGAUAGGUUGGGUGAGGUUGGGUUGGUUUAAUUGUGUGAAUUGUGUUGUUGGUUGGGUUGGGUUGGUUGAGUUGGUUUGAUUGGGUGAAUUGGUGAAUUGGAUGGGUUGAGUUGGUUGGGUUGGUUGGGUUGUGUUUGGUUAUUGGGUUGGUUUGAUUGGGUGAGUUUGAUGGGUUGGGUUGGUUGGGUUGGUUUAACUGGGUGAAUUGGGUGGUUUUGGGUUGAGUGAAGUUGGGUUGGUUGGUUGGGUUGGUAUAAUGGGGUGAAUUGGGUGGUUGGGUUGGGUUGGUUGUGUUGGGUUGUGUUUGGUCGUUGGGUUGGUUUAAUUGGGUGAAUUGGGUGGGUUGCCCUGGUUGGGUUGGGUUGAUUGGGUUGUGUUCAGUCAUUGGGUUGGUUUAAUUGGGUGAACUGGGUGGUUUUGGUUUGGGUGAAGUUGGGUUG
rnacentral:lncRNA from 1 species